AUAUGACAAGCCCGAUUCCAUCCUCGAAAAGCCAUACCUAGAGAAGAUCUAGAAAAGACCUCUUUCUUUACCUAUAUGGAUGGCUAGCAACCGGAACUGGGACAGAAGGAAUUCAAUAAAAGUUGCCAUCUUCCUAGGAGACGGACAAGGAAGCUAAAGAAGGUUUUCUGCCAGCGACUACGGCAUCUCCCGCUAUUACUUUAAAUGAAUCCGUGGGGCCGGCUUGAAAGCAGAGAAUCGAAGAUUGAUUUUUG
rnacentral:misc_RNA from 1 species